rnacentral:rRNA from 1 species
AUGGUUGGCUUUUCGGCAGCCACCACUGGCGCUCUCCUCCUCAUCUUCUUCUUCUCCUACCUUGCUACCCCUGCUGUCUCCUUGUCCUUUGAUUACUCCACCUUCAGCCCAACAGACCGGAACAACAUCACGAUCGAAGGCGACGCAUCCUUCAGCGUCGGAUGGAUCGACAUCAGCGCCAACAGGUACAAUGGUAUCGAGGGCAGCAAUGGUCAGGCGUGGUACAGCGCCCAGCCGAUGUUGCUCUGGGACAAGGCGACCGGCGAGGUGGCCAGCUUCACCACUCGCUUCACGUUCGCCAUUAUAGGCGACAUAGACAACAAGGGGCAGGGCAUGGCCUUUUUCCUCACCGAUCAAUCUAGCAUGCCGGCCAACUGCCCCAGCUACAACCUCGGCCUCACCGACCAGAGCCCAGGUGAGCUGGCCUCCGGUGACAGCCGGUUCGUGGCGGUGGAGUUCGACACUUUCAAUAAUACGGAUGUGUCUGACCCAAACACCACCUAUGACCACAUUGGCAUAGACGUCAACUCCCUAGUAUCGGUGGAAACACUGAGCCUAGAGAGCUUUGACCUCAUGGACAACUUGACCGCCGAGAUUGAGUACGAUGGCGUUUCCAGCAUCUUAAAUGUGACAGUAUGGCUCGGUGAUGAUAAAUAUGGCCGGCCGAGAGGCAGGAUUUACUGGCUUAGCUCCGAGGUUGACCUCAAGAGUGCACUGUCGAAGCAGGUCUCCAUUGGCUUCUCCGCAUCCACGUCCAUGUCCAUGGAAGUGCAUCAGUUACACUCUUGGUUCUUCAACUCUUCGUUGGAACCACAGGCCCAAUCAUCACCACCACCAUCAUCAUCACUACCACCACCACCACCAGCAGCAGCAGCAGGGCGAGGCCCAGGUUCUAGAGUUGUCGGAGCAGCCGUCGGCACAACAAUGUUACUUGUGCUCCUCUUCGCUGCUGCGGCAACACUCGUAUUGCGCCACCGUCGUCUUGGGAACAUGAUGGAGACCGAGGAGAACUACACAGACAUAGAAUGUGAAGGCAAGCCCAUGACGGGGUUAGAGAUGGGGACGGGCCAAGAUGGUUCCCAUACCAGGAGUUGGUGGAAGCCACGAGGAACUUCGCCGCGGAGGAGAAGCUUGGGCAAGGUGGCUUCGGCGCCGUAUACCGAGGCUAUCUAA